CUACGGGAGGCAGCAGUGGGGAAUUUUCCGCAAUGGGCGAAAGCCUGACGGAGCAAUACCGCGUGAGGGAAGACGGCCUAUGGGUUGUAAACCUCUUUUUUCAGGGAGGAAUAACUGACGUGUACCUGAAGAAUAAGCAUCGGCUAACUCCGUGCCAGCAGCCGCGGUAAGACGGAGGAUGCAAGUGUUAUCCGGAAUCACUGGGCGUAAAGCGUCUGUAGGUGGUUAAACAAGUCAACUGUUAAAUCUUGAGGCUCAACUUCAAAAUCGCAGUCGAAACUGUUUGACUAGAGUAUAGUAGGGGUAAAGGGAAUUUCCAGUGGAGCGGUGAAAUGCGUAGAUAUUGGAAAGAACACCGAUGGCGAAGGCACUUUACUGGGCUAUUACUGACACUCAGAGACGAAAGCUAGGGUAGCAAAUGGGAUUAGAUACCCCAGUAGUCCUAGCCGUAAACAAUGGAUACUAGAUGUUGAACAGAUCGACCUGUGCAGUAUCAAAGCUAACGCGUUAAGUAUCCCGCCUGGGAAGUAUGCUCGCAAGAGUGAAACUCAAAG
rnacentral:rRNA from 1 species